AUACGGAGGGUGCAAGCGUUAAUCGGAAUUACUGGGCGUAAAGCGUACGUAGGCGGUUAUUUAAGUCAGAUGUGAAAGCCCCGGGCUUAACUUGGGAACUGCAUUUGAAACUGGGUAACUAGAGUUUAGUAGAGGGGAGUGGAAUUUCAGGUGUAGCGGUGAAAUGCGUAGAGAUCUGAAGGAACACCAGUGGCGAAGGCGACUCCCUGGACUAAAACUGACGCUGAGGUACGAAAGCGUGGGUAGCAAACAGGAUUAGAUACCCCGGUAGUCC
rnacentral:rRNA from 1 species